GUCAUUUAAUUCAGGGUGCAUUAGGCCUACCUAACAUCUAGUGAAUGGUGUGGGGUAUAUGUCAUUUAAUUCAGGAUGCAUUAGGCCUACCUAACAUCUAGUAAAUGGUGUGGGGUAUAUGUCAUUUAAUUCAGGAUACAUUAGGCCUACCUAACAUCGAAGAAGUCUUAGAAGUAGAGUUAGUCCCACGUAAGUACACUUCCUGUUAUAAAAAUCAAGCAAAAAACAUUACCUCUCUAGCCUGACUCCAGUAUCAAACUACAAUACUGCUAAAACAGCAUUUGACACAAAAGCCUAUACUUUUAAUCUUAAUAAAGAAAUCCUGAAAUAGUCCUUGAGUGUUGUUACUGUAAUAUAGGUAGAUAGCUGUAAUACUGUUGUAUGAGCCACAGGAGUCUAAACAUGAAAUGCAGGAGUUAUAGGAAAUCAACCAGGUUUCCAUGUAACACUUGUUCCCAACCAGGCUGGAAGCCAUCAGUCAAAGCAGCAGAGAGACUGUCCAGCCUGGAAAUAAGGACUCGGCUCUCCUCUCCUACCCAGAGAUGUGCAGUCAGAGAUGUGGAGUCAGAGAUGUGCAGUCAGAGAUGUACAGUCAGAGAUGUGGAGUCAGAGAUGUACAGUCAGAGAUGUGGAGUCAGAGAUGUACAGUCAGAGAUGUACAGUCAGAGAUGUGCAGUCAGAGAUGUGAGGUCAGAGAUGUGGAGUCAGAGAUGUGAGGUCAGAGAUGUGCAGUCAGAGAUGUGCAGUCAGAGAUGUGCAGUCAGAGAUGUGUGAGGUCAGAGAUCAGUCAGAGAUGUGUCAGAGAGUACAGUCAGAGAUGUGCAGUCAGAGAUGUGCAGUCAGAGAUGUACAGUCAGAGAUGUGGAGUCAGAGAUGUGCAGUCAGAGAUGUGGAGUCAGAGAUGUGGAGUCAGAGAUGUGAGGUCAGAGAUGUGCAGUCAGAGAUGUGCAGUCAGAGAUGUGGAGCCAGAGAUGUGCAGUCAGAGAUGUACAGUCAGAGAUGUACAGUCAGAGAUGUGCAGUCAGAGAUGUGCAGUGCAGUGGGGCUGAGUAAUGGCUGGUGGUCAUGCGCUCAGAGGGUCACAACCCUGCAUGCAGUAUUCUCAAAGACGCUUUUGUGAUAUUGGUAAAUGUACACGCACGGACAGGGAUGGAGGGAGGGGGGAAGAGAGAGAGUGUGUGUGGGGCAGGAGGGAGGGAGGCAGUGCCUGCAUGUGUGUGCGUGCGUGCGUGCGUGCGUGCGUGCGUGCGUGUGUGUGUGUGUGUGUG
ensembl:lncRNA